rnacentral:rRNA from 1 species
AGGAUAAACGCUGGCGGCGUGCCUAACACAUGCAAGUCGAACGUCUCUUCUUUCGGGAAGAGGAGUGGCGGACGGGUGAGGAACACGUGGGAACCUGCCCUUUAGUGAGGAAUACCGGCGAGAAAUCGCCGACAAGACCGCAUAGCCCUCUUUGAUGAGAGUCAAAGAAGGAAAGCUUCGCAAGAGGCGCUAGAGGAGGGGCCUGCGUCCGAUUAGCUAGUUGGUGGGGUAAGAGCCUACCAAGGCGUCGAUCGGUAGCUGGUCUGAGAGGACGAUCAGCCACACUGGGAUUGAGAACGGCCCAGACUCCUACGGGGGGCAGCAGUGAGGAAUUUUCGGCAAUGGGGGAAACCCUGACCGAGCAACGCCGCGUGCAGGAAGACGGCCUUCGGUUGUAAACUGCUUUUCUUUGGAAGAGGAAGGACGGUACCAGAGGAAUCGAGCCCGGCUCACUACGUGCCAGCAGCCGC